rnacentral:rRNA from 1 species
GACGAACGCUGGCGGCGCGCCUAACACAUGCAAGUCGAACGGAACCUAUUGAGAGCUUGCUCUCGGCAGGUUUAGUGGCGGACGGGUGAGUAACACGUGAGCAACCUGCCCUUCAGUGGGGGAUAACGUCUGGAAACGGACGCUAAUACCGCAUAACAUCCCGGGAUGGCAUCAUUUUGGGAUCAAAGGAUUUAUUCGCUGAAGGAUGGGCUCGCGCCCGAUUAGAUAGUUGGCGAGGUAACGGCUCACCAAGUCUGUGAUCGGUAGCCGGACUGAGAGGUUGAUCGGCCACAUUGGGACUGAGACACGGCCCAGACUCCUACGGGAGGCAGCAGUGGGGAAUAUUGCACAAUGGGGGAAACCCUGAUGCAGCGACGCCGCGUGAGUGAAGACGGUCUUCGGAUUGUAAAGCUCUGUGAUGGGGGACGAUAAUGACGGUACCCCAUCAGAAAGCCACGGCUAACUACGUGCCAGCAGCCGC